rnacentral:rRNA from 1 species
CCUACGGGAGGCAGCAGUGGGGAAUAUUGCACAAUGGGGGAAACCCUGAUGCAGCGACGCCGCGUGAACGAAGAAGGUAUUCGUAUCGUAAAGUUCUGUCCUAUGGGAAGCAGUACCAUAGAAGAAAGCUCCGGCUAAAUACGUGCCAGCACCGCGGUAAUACGUAUGGAGCGAGCGUUGUCCGGAAUUAUUGGGCGUAAAGGGUACGCAGGCGGUUUAUAAGUCGAAUGUUAAAGAUCGGGGCUCAACCCCGUAAAGCAUUGGAAACUGAUAAACUUGAGUAGUGGAGAGGAAAGUGGAAUUCCUAGUGUAGUGGUGAAAUACGUAGAUAUUAGGAGGAAUACCAGUAGCGAAGGCGACUUUCUGGACACACUGACGCUGAGGUACGAAAGCGUGGGGAGCAAACAGGAUUAGAUACCCUUGUAGUC